rnacentral:rRNA from 1 species
UACGAAGGGGGCUAGCGUUGUUCGGAAUUACUGGGCGUAAAGGGCACGUAGGCGGAUCGAUCAGUCAGGGGUGAAAUCCCAGGGCUCAACCCUGGAACUGCCUUUGAUACUGUCGAUCUGGAGUAUGGAAGAGGUGAGUGGAAUUCCGAGUGUAGAGGUGAAAUUCGUAGAUAUUCGGAGGAACACCAGUGGCGAAGGCGGCUCACUGGUCCAUUACUGACGCUGAGGUGCGAAAGCGUGGGGAGCAAACAGG